rnacentral:rRNA from 1 species
CCUACGGGUGGCAGCAGUGGGGAAUAUUGGACAAUGGGGGGAACCCUGAUCCAGCCAUGCCGCGUGUGUGAAGAAGGCCCUCGGGUUGUAAAGCACUUUCAGUGAGGAAGAACGCCUAGUGGUUAAUACCCAUCAGGAAAGACAUCACUCACAGAAGAAGCACCGGCUAACUCCGUGCCAGCAGCCGCGGUAAUACGGAGGGUGCGAGCGUUAAUCGGAAUUACUGGGCGUAAAGCGCGCGUAGGUGGCUUGAUAAGCCGGUUGUGAAAGCCCCGGGCUCAACCUGGGAACGGCAUCCGGAACUGUCAAGCUAGAGUGCAGGAGAGGAAGGUAGAAUUCCCGGUGUAGCGGUGAAAUGCGUAGAGAUCGGGAGGAAUACCAGUGGCGAAGGCGGCCUUCUGGACUGACACUGACACUGAGGUGCGAAAGCGUGGGUAGCAAACAGGAUUAGAUACCCCUGUAGUC